AUUGAACGCUGGCGGCAUGCUUUACACAUGCAAGUCGAACGGUAACAGGCCGCAAGGUGCUGAGGAGUGGCGAACGGGUGAGUAAUGCAUCGGAACGUGCCCAGUCGUGGGGGAUAACGCAGCGAAAGCUGCGCUAAUACCGCAUACGAUCUAUGGAUGAAAGCGGGGGACCGUAAGGCCUCGCGCGAUUGGAGCGGCCGAUGUCAGAUUAGGUAGUCGGUGGGGUAAAGGCUCACCAAGCCAACGAUCUGUAGCUGGUCUGAGAGGACGACCAGCCACACUGGGACUGAGACACGGCCCAGACUCCUACGGGAGGCAGCAGUGGGGAAUUUUGGACAAUGGGCGCAAGCCUGAUCCAGCAAUGCCGCGUGCAGGAAGAAGGCCUUCGGGUUGUAAACUGCUUUUGUACGGAACGAAACGGUCCUGGUUAAUACCUGGGGCUAAUGACGGUACCGUAAGAAUAAGCACCGGCUAACUACGUGCCAGCAGCCGCGGUAAAAC
rnacentral:rRNA from 1 species